rnacentral:rRNA from 1 species
CGGACCGACGGGAGCUUGCUCCCUUAGGUCAGCGGCGGACGGGUGAGUAACACGUGGGUAACCUGCCUGUAAGACUGGGAUAACUCCGGGAAACCGGGGCUAAUACCGGAUGCUUGAUUGAACCGCAUGGUUCAAUCAUAAAAGGUGGCUUUUAGCUACCACUUGCAGAUGGACCCGCGGCGCAUUAGCUAGUUGGUGAGGUAACGGCUCACCAAGGCGACGAUGCGUAGCCGACCUGAGAGGGUGAUCGGCCACACUGGGACUGAGACACGGCCCAGACUCCUACGGGAGGCAGCAGUAGGGAAUCUUCCGCAAUGGACGAAAGUCUGACGGAGCAACGCCGCGUGAGUGAUGAAGGUUUUCGGAUCGUAAAACUCUGUUGUUAGGGAAGAACAAGUACCGUUCGAAUAGGGCGGUACCUUGACGGUACCUAACCAGAAAGCCACGGCUAACUACGUGCCAGCAGCCGCGGUAAUACGUAGGUGGCAAGCGUUGUCCGGAAUUAUUGGGCGUAAAGCGCGCGCAGGCGGUUUCUUAAGCCUGAUGUGAAAGCCCCCGGCUCAACCGGGGAGGGUCAUUGGAAACUGGGGAACUUGAGUGCAGAAGAGGAGAGUGGAAUUCCACGUGUAGCGGUGAAAUGCGUAGAGAUGUGGAGGAACACCAGUGGCGAAGGCGACUCUCUGGUCUGUAACUGACGCUGAGGCGCGAAAGCGUGGGGAGCGAACAGG